CAGAGUUUAAACACAUAGAAAAACCCGAGAUCACAGCAGAUUCUCAACUUAAGCAAAUAUUUUUCGGCAUCCAUGAGCGAAGAGAGAGCUGUAAUUAGAAGUCUUCUGUAUUUCACGAGAACGCCUGAGAUAACUGAUGGAGGGGAACUGGAUGUUAUCGAGGUGCUAUGAAUCACCUCGCCCGUAACCUAUGGAAGAGAAAUACAUCAGCAUAUGAGCUAGGAGAUUAUCAACAUGUUUUCCUCUAUAAUUUCAUGCGGUGCAGUGAGC